UGGAUCGAGAUCAUUUGAUCUCGAUUCAACAGGAACCACGUGAAUGCAUGGGAUUAUCAACCAUAGUCAAUGUGUAUUCAAUUAAUAUUUAAGGUGCUACAUCUUAAUGAAAUGCUCUACGAUGUGCAAUUUAGUCAAAUGCUAGAUUUGUCAAGUGGUGCAAAUCCAAAUUAAUGGUCUAAUGAGAUGUGAAAUAAGUGGACCCCACUUUUUCUUUUUUCUUACUCUUGGCGAGUUUUGCGGGUAGAAUACUGUGUGUUUUCUAUUGUCUGCUGCCAUAUCAUGAGAACAGAAAAUGCAUGGAACAAGGGAAAAGAAAAUUAGGAUUGAGAUUGAAAAUGAAGUUGAAGAAGGUGCUUACUUACGAUAUAGUUUAAACUAAGAAGUACAGAGGAAAGUGUGAAAAGCAGAAUUUUUUUUGUCCUUUUCGGCAUUCACUUUUCUCACUAUGAAUGUACAUAAUACUCAAUAUGUUGAAUGUGUGUUCUUGCUUUCAGUACAAGAAUUCAAAUAUAAACUUUAAAUUCAAAUGAGGUGUAUUUUGAUUAUGAAGACCCUCGAAAGAACAUACUUUUUAAUACGGUCUUACGCACUUAAGGAAAAACAUUAAAUGCUACUACCAAGAACUGCACUUAAGUGUAGCUGAGCACAACGGUAGUUAACUAUAAUUCGUUUAGUGAACGUAGUUAACUGCAGUGCAGUUGGGGAU
rnacentral:lncRNA from 1 species